UGACCGACCGCUACUACUCUUU
rnacentral:miRNA from 1 species